rnacentral:rRNA from 1 species
UAAGUAGGGGGCGAGCGUUGUCCGGAUUUAUUGGGCGUAAAGAGCGUGUAGGCGGCCGAGCAGGUCCGUUGUGAAAACUGAAGGCUCAACCUUCAGAGGUCGAUGGAAACCGUUCGGCUAGAGUCCGGAAGAGGAGAGUGGAAUUCCUGGUGUAGCGGUGAAAUGCGCAGAUAUCAGGAAGAACACCCGUGGCGCAAGCGACUCUCCGGGACGGUAAUGACGAUGAGCCGCGAAAGCGUGGGGAGCGAACAGG